rfam:Pan troglodytes isolate Yerkes chimp pedigree #C0471 (Clint) chromosome 15, whole genome shotgun sequence.
UUUUUAGUGUAAGUGUGUACCAUGCAAUAUUUGAGAUACACUUACAUUAAAA